rnacentral:rRNA from 1 species
GAUAACGAAGAUGAGAUGCCUCCUUUGGAAGAUGCUGAUGAUGUGCAUACUCAUGAUGAGUAUGAAGAAUACUUGGAGUAUGGUGAGAAAGCACUUGUUGCUCGAAGGGCUUUAAAUGUCCAGUUUAAAGAGGAAGGGCGGGUCCGAGAGGAUGAUCAGGCACACUAGGACUGAGACAUGGCUUAGACUCCUAUGGGAGACAGUAGUGGGGAAUUUUCUGCAAUGGGUGAAAGCCUGACGGAGUAAUAUCGCAUGGAGGUAGAAGGCCCACGGGUCAUGAACUUCUUUUUCCAGAGAAGAAGCAAUGACGAUAUCUGGGGAAUAAGUAUCGGCUAACUCUUUGCCAGUAGCCGUGGUAAUACGGAGGAUGCAAGCGUUAUUCGGAAUGAUUGGGCGUAAAGUGUCUGUAGGUGGCUUUUUAAGUCCGUCGUAAAAUCCCAAGGCUCAACCCUGGACAGGCGGUGGAAGCUACCAAGAUGGAGUACGGUAGGGGUAGAGGGAAUUUUUGGUGGUGCAAUGAAAGGCGUAGAGAUCGGAAAGAACACCAACUGUAAAAGCACUCUGCUGGGCCGACACUGACACUGAGAGACGAAAGCUAGAGGAGCGAAUGUGAUUAGAUACCCCAGUUUUCCUAGCCGUUGAUACGAGCCAAGGAUGUGACACUCAAAGGGUUGUCUUUCUUAGUGGUCCAAUCACUCGACGCAAGGCACGACAAUUAAAAUCAAAGAUGAAUGCUUUU